rnacentral:rRNA from 1 species
AACGAACGCUGGCGGCAUGCCUAAUACAUGCAAGUCGAACGAGAUCUUCGGGUCUAGUGGCGCACGGGUGCGUAACGCGUGGGAAUCUGCCCUUUGGUUCGGAAUAACAGUUGGAAACGACUGCUAAUACCGGAUGAUGACGAAAGUCCAAAGAUUUAUCGCCAGAGGAUGAGCCCGCGUAGGAUUAGCUAGUUGGUGUGGUAAAGGCGCACCAAGGCGACGAUCCUUAGCUGGUCUGAGAGGAUGAUCAGCCACACUGGGACUGAGACACGGCCCAGACUCCUACGGGAGGCAGCAGUGGGGAAUAUUGGACAAUGGGCGAAAGCCUGAUCCAGCAAUGCCGCGUGAGUGAUGAAGGCCUUAGGGUUGUAAAGCUCCUUUACCCGGGAUGAUAAUGACAGUACCGGGAGAAUAAGCUCCGACUAACUCCGUGCCAGCCGCCGCCGUAA